UACGUAGGGUGCAAGCGUUUGUCCGGAAUUAUUGGGCGUAAAGAGCUCGUAGGCGGUCUGUCGCGUCGGCUGUGAAAUCCCGAGGCUCAACCUCGGGUCUGCAGUCGAUACGGGCAAACUAGAGUAUUGCAGGGGAGACUGGAAUUCCUGGUGUAGCGGUGAAAUGCGCAGAUAUCAGGAGGAACACCGGUGGCGAAGGCGGGUCUCUGGGCAAUAACUGACGCUGAGGAGCGAAAGCGUGGGGGAGCGAACAGG
rnacentral:rRNA from 1 species